rnacentral:rRNA from 1 species
UAGGGAAUCUUCGGCAAUGGACGGAAGUCUGACCGAGCAACGCCGCGUGAGUGAAGAAGGUUUUCGGAUCGUAAAGCUCUGUUGUAAGAGAAGAACGAGUGUGAGAGUGGAAAGUUCACACUGUGACGGUAUCUUACCAGAAAGGGACGGCUAACUACGUGCCAGCAGCCGCGGUAAUACGUAGGUCCCGAGCGUUGUCCGGAUUUAUUGGGCGUAAAGCGAGCGCAGGCGGUUAGAUAAGUCUGAAGUUAAAGGCUGUGGCUUAACCAUAGUAGGCUUUGGAAACUGUUUAACUUGAGUGCAAGAGGGGAGAGUGGAAUUCCAUGUGUAGCGGUGAAAUGCGUAGAUAUAUGGAGGAACACCGGUGGCGAAAGCGGCUCUCUGGCUUGUAACUGACGCUGAGGCUUGAAAGCGUGGGGAGCAAACAGGAUUAGAUACCCUGGUAGUCCACGCCGUAACGAUGAGUGCUAGGUGUUAGACCCUUUCCGGGGUUUAGUGCCGCAGCUAACGCAUUAAGCACUCCGCCUGGGGAGUACGACCGCAAGGUU